UUGGAGUAUGGAACAUCGAGUUAUUAUAUUUUGGUGUUGUUGUGUACUGUUGAACCUCUGCCAUGUACUGCACUGUACAACAAGUUUUAAAGUGACCCCAAGAUUAAUAAGAAAAACAAGGGAGAAAAGAGAGAGUUACAUGUCUCUCCAGAUAGAACUUCAGAUGCUGGACAGGGGACCAAUCUUACUAAAUCUAAACAGGAAUGAAGGGUUGAUGCUAGGGUCUGGAGUAGUGGAGUAUGUCUAUGCAAAUGGAACCAAAACAAUUGAACCUAUUCUUGCAAGAGAAUCCCUGGAUUGCCUCUACAUAGGAUCUGUGGACAAGGAGAUAUCAAGCCUAGUUGCGGUUAGUGUCUGUGAUGGUAUAUCUGGAUAUAUACAGAGAGAGGAAGAUGGAUAUAUCAUUAAACCUUGUACUGAGAACCCAACCCUUGAGUCAGAACACUCUAUGGAGAUCAUUCCUCCGUACAUUAGGAAUCCACAGGAGAAGAAGGAUAAUAUGAACAACCCCGAUCUUAGAGAAAGCGAGAUACAUAAAGGAUUCGGAACCUUAGUUGAAGAGUACACGGGUAUGACAGAAGGAGACAGGAACAGUACUCUAAGUCUAUCCGGAGAACAGAACAGCACUUUAGGUAUAUCCGGAGAACAGAACAGCACUUUAGGUAUAUCCAGAGAACAGAACAGCUAUUUAGGUCUAUCCGGAGAACAGAACAGCAUUUUAGGUCUAUCCGAAGAACAGAACAGCACUUUAGGUCUAUCCGAAGAACAGAACAGCACUUUAGGUCUAUCCGGAGAACAGGAAAGUACUCAAGGUGUACCAGGAGAACAUGAAAGUGCUCUGAAUGUGGCAGGCGAACAGAACGGUAUUCAACGUUUAUCAGGAGAACAGAACAGUACUCAAAGAACAAAAGAACAGGACAGUACUUUAACUGCUGCGCAAGUUCUAAACCGAUCCCGGAGAAGUCAGAAAGAUGAGUUAAUUACGAACUCUGGCUUGAGUGGGGAUGAGGAUGUAUUUCAUUGGUACGAUGUGAACCUGGAUGACGCAAUGGCUGAGACGGAUUCUAACUCUGACCUGGAUUGGAUGGGUCAUGUACUAGGUGAUGUUUGGCAGGUUGAUACUGCCGCUGCUCGGAGAAAAGUGCAAAGACAGAAAGGACAUAUUGUCUGUAACGGACCCUACUGUGAGUACUUUAGAGUAAAGAAGGACGAACCCAAAUGGUUGGAAACAGCUUUAUAUAUUGAUCAUUCAGUUAUUCAAUUCCAUGGCAAGGAUACUGUGAAGCAAUAUAUUCUAACCCUGAUUAAUAUAGUUAGUGCUAUAUACGGAGAUCCAACCCUGGGAGCCAACCUCAAGUUUGUGAUUACAAGAAUGAUCUUCUAUGAUGAUGAAUCUAUAAAUCCAAUAGUGGAAGAUGAUUCUAAAGCUUCUCUGGAGAACGUGAACUCCUGGAACACUGCUGUCUGGAGAGGUCUGGAUAAGGGUGAGAGGCAUGAUAUCUCGGUUUGGUUAACAAGAAAGAAUAUCGGAGGUCCGUCUGGAUACGCUCCUGUCUCCGGAGUCUGUGAUCCGGAGAGAUCUUGUUCUCUGAACCGAGAUGAGGGCUUGUCCAGUGCAUUCAUCUUGGCACAUGAGCUGGGACAUAUUCUGGGUUUAUCUCAUGAUGGAGAUCUAGGAGCAGGGAACACCUGCUCCAAGGAGUCCAACGAGGGGAGUAUCAUGGCCUCUAUGGUGGCAGCAACCUUCUCCUACUUCCAUUGGUCCUCCUGCUCUGCCGGAGAAUAUCAUUUCAAGUCUAACCAAUGGUCUUGUAUGAGAAACAAACCUAAAUCUACCUUCAACUAUACAUUUAUCAGUGAGAAAAUUGAGUACGAGUACAGUCUAGAUGAUCAGUGCCGGAUGGAGUUUGAUCAGGGAUACUCGUUCUGUCGGAGUUUUCAACUCUCUGAUCCUUGUGCCCAUCUUUGGUGCACUCAUAACAACAACCCGGAGCUUUGUAAGACUAAGAAAGGUCCGCCCAUGGACGGGACGGCUUGCGGUAAGAAUAAAUGGUGCAUAAACGGAUACUGUGAAUCUACAAGUAAGAGUUUAGAAAGUAAGGAUGGGUUGAGACACAAUGCUCUCUCCGGGGGCUGGAGCAGCUGGAGUAGAUGGGGAGAUUGUACCCGAACCUGCGGAGGAGGUGUUAGUUUCCGAACCCGGAGAUGUGAUAAUCCCAGACCGUCUUACGGAGGUAAACCCUGUCCUGGUAUUUCUGAAGAGUAUCAGCUUUGCAACAUCUACAGAUGCAUUAAAUAUGAAGAUUUCAGAGCAGAUCAAUGCAACACAACCUUCCAGCUCAUCACCGGAGAUUCAACCCACAAAUCUCAAGAAUGGUUGCCAUAUGAACACGAAGAUUUAAAAUAUAAAUGUAGGCUUGCCUGUUAUAAUACUAAAACUAAAGAACACGUGAUGACAGAUGAUCAUGUGAUCGACGGAACACCGUGCUCCUAUGAUCAUCCCAGUAAUAUCUGUAUCCAAGGAACCUGUGUGGAGGUUGGGUGUGAUAAAAUACUUGGAUCUCCGCUAGAAGAAGACCAGUGUGGAAUUUGUGCCGGAGACGGGACGAAAUGUAUCACUGAGAGAGAAACUAUCCAGAGAAAAGUGAACAAGAUGUUCACCAAAGUAUUCCUUCUCCCUGCGGGUUCAAGAUGGCUCGAGGUUCAGAAAAUAUCUGGGGAUAAAGUUCAUCUAGUCAUGAAAGAGAGAAAAGGCUCUUCUUUAUUCCUAGACGGAACUACCAUCAACUCCGGGUACAAAUCUCUCAUAGUACACGGAGCAAAGUUUGAGUUCAAGAGUGUGCAUGGACGAGAGUUUGUAACUGCUCGAGGUCCUCUCCUAGCUCCCAUACUGGUUGGGUUGACAGGGGUAGAAGGAGAGGAAGGAGAAGUUUACAUCAAAUAUACAUACGAACCUAAAGAAGACACUCUCUCCAGUAGAUCAAGGUACGAAUGGCAGACCCGAGGCUGGUCAACAUGUUCCGAGGAUUGUGGAGGAGGAGUUCAGAAGAUGAUUAUACGAUGCUACGAUAGCAUCACAGGGAACAGGGUUCAGAGAAAACAUUGCGGAGUAAAAAGAAACCGUCCCAGGACGGAGCAUCGGCCCUGCAACACGUUCCAGUGUGAGGCCGAGUGGGUGGAGGGAGACUGGGAGAACUGCGACCAAACCUGUGGGAAAACUGGAACUCAAUACAGAGGUGUUUUGCUUGCCCAGCCAUGAGAAUAGAACAGAUCAAAUCUGGAGAAACAUGGUGGAUGUUAGAUUCUGCGUCCAACCAAAACCAGAACAGAUAAGAGAGUGCAAUCGUGUUCCCUGUCCUGUCUACUGGUUGGAGCAGGGUUGGGGACCUUGUUCAGUAUCUUGCGGAGCAG
rnacentral:misc_RNA from 1 species